ensembl:lncRNA
GCGAGAAAUACAGGCUCUACUGCUUUUCACGUCCCAUGUGAAAUAUGUAUUUAUAAAUAUGAUGUAUGACGAUCCCCAGCUUAGCACAAAAGCACUAUUUAAACCUGCACCACUGAUCGGCCAGAGCCUGUGCCAGGGAUCGAACUCUGCCCCUCCACCACAUCCAGCGCCAGUCAGGAUCCGGGGCAAGAAGACCAAGCACUGGCGGGCGACGAGAAGGUCGCGCCUCCCGAGAUCCUGGCUGUGCCCCCUGAGGAGGUCCCGGAGUGCUCAGAGAGGGAACUAGACGACCCUCUCUUCUGUCUGUCUCUGUCUGUGUGUGUCUGUGUGGCAUAUGUGUCCGUAUGUUGCCCCCACUUCCCCUCUUUGUGUCCACCAGAUGGCGACCCAGCCGCGGAGCCGAACCCCAGGGAGGAGGUUCCUGACCCGAAUGUGCUGGUCCAAGGCGAGGUGGACAAGCCCCAAGGUACGAGAGUCCGGGGCCGCCAUGCGGGACCACGCCGGGGAGCCAGGCCGAGGGUCCGGGGCCGCCAUGCAGGACCACGCCGGGGAGCCAGGCCGAGGGUCCGGGGCCGCCAUGCGGGACCACGCCGGGGAGCCAGGCCGAGGGUCCGGGGCCGCCAAGCGGGACCACGCCGGGGGGGCAGCCCGAGGGACCGGGGCCGCCACGACUGACCACGCCGGGGGGCCAGCCCGAGGGACCGGGGCCGCCACGCCUGACCACGCCGGGGGGGCCAGCCCGAGGGACCGGGGCCGCCACGCCUGACCACGCCGGGGAGCCAGCCCGAGGGACCGGGGCCGCCACGCCUGACCACGCCGGGGAGCCAGCCCGAGGGACCGGGGCCGCCACGCCUGACCACGCCGGGGAGCCAGCCCGAGGGACAGGGGCCGCCACGCCUGACCACGCCGGGGAGCCAGCCCGAGGAACCGGGGCCGCCACGCCUGACCACGCCGGGGAGCCAGCCCGAGGGACUGGGGCCGCCACGCCUGACCACGCCGGGGAGCCAGCCCGAGGGACCGGGGCCGCCACGCCUGACCACGCCGGGGAGCCAGCCCGAGGGACCGGGUCCUCCAAGGGGAGGAUACAGCAGGGCAGGAGCCCUGUGGUUGCCGCCGUCCGCCCCGCCGCCUCAGGAUUGCCUGCAGCUGGGCUCCACACCUGAAUCCAAUCCUGACGCCCCAUAAAUGCCGGAAGUUUCCGCCCGUUCUGGGUCUCUGGCAUUUUCGUGAACUCGCUGCACGAACUUGACCUAGUUUUGUUUCAUGUGUUUUGAGUUCUGGCAAUCGCCACACGCCUACGGGUUAGUUUGUGUUUUUUCCCUUUUAUUUCCCGUUUUUGGCCACCGCGCCAUUGUUUAUUUGUAUUUGUUUAUAUAUAUGAAUAAAACCCCUUCCCAACAUGUCAGACCUCUGCGCUUCCUUCCCCCGUAAGUCCGUAGUCGUGACAGCGACGAUUUAAGGCCAAAUGUGUUAAGCCCUUUGUGCACUGGGCCAGUAAUAUUUACUUCUGCCUGUUUUAACUUGUUUAAUUUAAAUACAAUUAUGUUCAUUUUUGCUCAUCAUCUAACUGUUGGUUGUACACAUGGUGAAAGACAACACACAUUUAAAGAUUUAAACAUUUUAUUUUUCCUUAUUUAGAUGUCAUUUCUUCUCCAAACAGGAGCAGUAAAGCAUCGGGUCUAGACGGCGUCUCCUCUUCCUCCCUCAAAACCUGUGCUGACCAGCUGGCUCCAGGUUUCACUCACGGACUGUCAGCACUGGCUCUCCUCAUGUCCUCUCCCGAGUUUUCCAGGACUGCCUACAGAACCGCUGAAAUGGGUGUGCCAGAGGGACAUAAAAUCAGACAAGUGAUCAACAUUAUUAGCGUUAACUGCUGGUUUUAUAAACCAUCAACCUGCUCAAUAGCAGCGUAAAAUAAUUUCACACAUACAGAGGACAGUAUGAAUCUUUGCUGAAGUUAACCAUGCUAGAUUAUGGAAAAGCCUCAUGUAAAGGUUUUUUUUAAAUUGCACAUUAAACAUUUAGACAUUAGAUAAGCAGCCAUUCUGAAAACAGACUCCACAGGGAGUUGAACCCCGCCCUGAUCCUGAAGGUCAAGAGUGCCACCACUGGAGCCUUUUUUUUGGGGCUUUUUUUGCUACUACAGUUAAUUAUUAAACUGUUAAAGGAACUACAGGUUAAAUUGGUGCCAAUUUGUGUCCAAUUCAUCUCCAAUUGGCCUAGUUGUUUUGUGGGGGAAACCGGAGAACCCGGAGAAAACCCACGCUGACACUGGGAGAUACAUGCAAAUUUGCAAAUCUCCACACAGAAGGGACCGAAACUCAGAUCUUCCUGCUGUGAGACAAGGUGCUAACCACAAUGUCACCGUGCAGCCCGUCACUAAAUACUUACCUUCAUACUUACCUUUACUAGUGAUCACUAUUGGUGCUGCUUCUGCUACUAAUAGUGGUACUAGUACGGUGGAGGGAGGAGGCACUUCAAAUCCAUGUCCCAGAUGACAGGAAAAUCCUCCAGACUGGCUUCCUGGUGGGGUCCCUGUGGACUGUCUGCUGCUGGGUCGCUGGUCAUCAUUUCCUCCUCCAUCUGGUCCUGAAGAAUCCAGCGCUCCUCAAGCUCCAUGGAUGAUGUGCUAGUGGAGGGCUGAUGAGCGCUGGUGACGGAGGUGACAGGGACCACGCCGGGCAGAGGGGUGGCAGGACCAUCCUGUACCUGCGGCCUGCUCCAUGGAAGCAGGAUGCCCUUCUCCACAGCCAGGUCCCAGACUCCAGGAACAGAACUCAGCACGUCUUCCGGAAAAACAACCUCCUGACUGGCUUUCUGCUGGGGGGGCUGUGGAGUAGCCUGCAGCUGCUGCAUACAGGGAAUGCUCCACAGCAGAGCUGGAGGGGAGUUAGUGUCCCUCACACAUGCCCACGGUAUACCUGAGAAGCACAGUGAUAUGAAUACAUUGAGAUUUUUGGUGAUAAUUAAC